AUCUCUCACUGCCUCCAUUUCUUCCCCUCCUGGCAAAUAGAAGGGGAAGAAAUGGAGGCAGUGAGAGAU
rnacentral:miRNA from 1 species